UACGUAGGGUGCGAGCGUUAAUCGGAAUUACUGGGCGUAAAGCGUGCGCAGGCGGUUCGUUGUGUCGGCGGUGAAAGCCCCGGGCUCAACCUGGGAAUGGCAGUGGAUACUGGCAAGCUAGAGUGCGGUAGAGGGGUGUGGAAUUCCCGGUGUAGCGGUGAAAUGCGUAGAGAUCGGGAGGAACACCAGUGGCGAAGGCGGCACCCUGGACCAGCACUGACACUGAGGCACGAAAGCGUGGGGAGCAAACAGG
rnacentral:rRNA from 1 species